CUGCAUUAUUAAGGGCGUGGAUACUUGAGUGACAGGUGAUGUCACUGUUUGCUCGACGCUCGGUGGUGGCUAGCAGCUGGCGGUGCUAGGUGUGAGCUAAUCCCCGGUUAUUGAACGUGACUUCUCGACCGUGAUGUUGAGGCCUUGCGGAGAACAUUUCAAGCAUCUACCAGAUGAAUAAUACGCCUGCUCUGCGGUCAGUUGGCCCAACAGAGAAGUCCAGUAAGUUUGCGCUCCUGUUCUUUUGGUAAGUAAAAUGAUAGUUUUGUUCUGUUUUUGCAGUAAUUAGUGGGUGUCGGUGUCGGUGUCGGUGUCUGCGCUGCGGGAUCAACACAACACGCUAAUGGGAUCAACACAACACGACACCGACAUGAGCCGUUUUCCUCCAGGUGAUCCAGACUGACUGAACCAGUGGAAACUCAACAUGAGGCAGAACUGAACUCGGACUCACCACUUCAGCACUGACCCCAGGCCACCAUUAAUUGAAUAACUUAAUGGUCACAUUUUUCCCAAGUGAAACAUCAGAACAAACCAUGAUCCUAAAGUGCCCACUCUGCAACUCCCACCUCCUGCCGAUUCCAUUCACCUGGCCUGCCCCACCCCUACUACUCACCUGUUCCUCAUCAGCUAAUCAGCUCUGCAGUGUAUAUAUAAAGGGUCCAUUCCCAUUUUUUUAGUAACAGUGUUACUAACCACAUGUAACGUUGGCUGGGAUGACUGGUACAGGACCUCACGUUACAGCAGUCAGUACCGACCCGGUGCAGCCUCAGGGCCAUGGCGCUAGCCGGCUCGCACUUAGCCUACCUUAUUAGCUUAGCUCUUUAGCCUCAGCUAACUGAGAAGCUUCGACGUAAGUGGCCGUGCUUCAGCGACCGGUCUGCAUUCGGCCAACCUCUAUGUCCAUAUUUGGAUUAGCAGGGUAAAGGAGGAGUCAGACCCUGCCAAGAUGGCGACGGCUGAGCCGCUGCGGAACCGCCCACUUUGGGCUUCAAAACCAGCCUGCAGAAACCAAUGUGUGAUGUCACGGACGCUACGUCCAUGUUUAUAUACAGUGUGGAAUUAUUAAGCCACAUAAGCUUUUUAUGCGUUAAUAUUGUGAAUUAACUGUGACAGAUAAGCUAGCUCAAUAUAUUAAAGUUUUAGCAUUAGGCAAUCGAUAUGUUUAAGUACGAAGGGGGAUAGAUGGAGUCAGAUGGAGAGGUUAACUAAAUGUCAGAUGAAGGGGUCAUGAGGUGAAACGGCUGCGCGGGCUGACUGGAAAAGAACAUUGAGUACUAAAAACAUAUUGCGAAGGGGACAGCGUGGAAACCACAUCCUUUUGUUCUUAGAAAGACAGCGGACUGCUGCAAAAGCUGCGAGCAACAGAUUCUUGUAAAAGUUAAUACACUAAACCCGGGCAGCCAAAGACAUCUCAAGGCAGUUAAAAGUCAGUUAGAACAGUGCGCGAGCAAAUCUGCCUAGGAACGCAGUGUUCCUGCCUGUCAACCACACACCCGGCGAGAGGAUGUGGCAGAACACAAAGAUGAUUGGCUCAUAAGCUGAAGAGGAAGGCAUGCUUCAGCGAAUAUAGAGGCGAGUUAGGGAAAGAAACGGGGUUCUUUGCCUGAUGCAGGACUGCAGAGCUAUGUUCGCAUAGUGACCCUCAGACUCUGUGUAAAUUGACUAGUAUUGUGUAUCGUCUUAAUGCUCUUUUGAUGUCUUUGAUUAAUUUCUUGAUUAUGAACCAAGAACUGUUCCAUCUCAAGUGAUUAAUUGACUCAGGUUGUCUUUCCCUAUACAAUAAAAGAAUGCGCCGGGAUUGAGAGAGAGAGAGAGAAAACAGAAUCCCGACAACAGUCGCAUAAGCUAAUAAUCAGAGUACAUCACACCAAUUGCAACACCCAUGUUCCACGGAUUAAAGAACCAUGUCUAUUGGAGUGCAACCUCUUCAACCUCAGGGCCUCAGAAGGUGGCCAAGUGGACUGUUUAACCACAUUCAAAACAUCGAUGGGCAUGAAGACCCCCUCUUCCCAAAGAAGACAAAGAAGGGUGAAGCCACCACAAACCUGUUAAAACAGAACCCACAUUCAGUAAGUUGUAAAACACAAUUUUAUUAUUAUAAACAUGAUAACAAAUUCAAAUGAAUAAUAAAUAUUUCUGAACAUUUUAAGUAAACAACAAAGGUGUAUUCAGGAAAACACUUGAAAAUGAAGAAUGGAAUGAAAUGUUUUACAUAUUAUGUGGGUGACUUGAUGAGGAUGGUGUUUGAGGCCUCAGCACCAUUUGUGGAGUAGAUGAAAAAAUCCCCAUCCCCAAGGAUCUGUCAUCCCAAUAUGGCAGGUCGUCAAAGGAGGAUGUGGUUGCUCGCUACAUGUCAGGCUUCAGUCAAGGGGCGGUCGGAAGCCAACACACUGGUCAGCUUGAACACGAAACUCCUGGCGGAUCCGGAGGAUAACGGGAUGAAGACCCUGUUGUGGCAUCCCACAGCACCAACUGCGAGAAAAACAAUGAGGCAUUAUUGCAGUUGCAAAUUGCCUCUUCUGCUAUAUUUUUGUACAUGUGUAUAUUUCUGGUUUCCUUACAUUUGCAAAAAAUAAAGAUAUUUUGAAGAAAACAUGCACUUAGUCAGUCAAGUCAUUUAGAAGAAGUACACAGUAACAAUGUGACUUACCACUCUGAACCGUCCUGCUCCAGUCUCGGUUGAAAAGCGUCAGGACUACCGGGUUGUUUUUCCUCUCUGUCGGUGUCAGACUCGGGAUUAAACUGGUACAGUUGAGAAUUCUCCAUUGCUGCUUAGUUUAGCAACAUCUGUGUUUUUAGCUUCUCCGUGAGCCGGCCGGUUCGGAACAUCCUUAC